rnacentral:rRNA from 1 species
GUACCAAGGGCAACAGAUCCGCAAGGGGGAACCAAUCCCAAAAAACCGGCCCCAGUUCGGAUUGAGGUCUGCAACUCGACCUCAUGAAGGCGGAAUCGCUAGUAAUCGCGGAUCAGCAUGCCGCGGUGAAUACGUUCCCGGGCCUUGUACACACCGCGCCGUGGGGCGGGGGCGUGCGGACCGGGCGCGGGGCGCGC